UGAACGCUGGCGGCGUGCUUAACACAUGCAAGUCGAACGAACCCUCGGGUUAGUGGCGGACGGGUGAGUAACGCGUGAGAAUCUGCCCUCAGGAGGGGGAUAACGGUUGGAAACGACCGCUAAUACCCCAUAUGCCUAUUGGUGAAAUGAAUUUCGCCUGAGGAUGAGCUCGCGUCUGAUUAGCUAGUUGGUGAGGUAAUGGCUCACCAAGGCUUCGAUCAGUAGCUGGUCUGAGAGGAUGAUCAGCCACACUGGGACUGAGACACGGCCCAGACUCCUACGGGAGGCAGCAGUGGGGAAUUUUCCGCAAUGGGCGAAAGCCUGACGGAGCAACGCCGCGUGAGGGACGAAGGCCUCUGGGCUGUAAACCUCUUUUCUCAAGGAAGAAGAUAUGACGGUACUUGAGGAAUAAGCCACGGCUAAUUCCGUGCC
rnacentral:rRNA from 1 species